CUAUUCAUUAUAUCAAAUUGUAGAUUCCAACAGAAGUCUCAUAAAGUUCAACAAAAAAAGCAGAAGACCCAGUGGAUCAGUUCAUUCUCUAGUCAGUUCAUGAACUUUAUGAGACUUCGGUUGGAAUCUACAAUUUGAUAUAAUGAAUA